rnacentral:snRNA from 1 species
GCGCUCGCUUUGACAGCACACAUCCUAAAUUGGAAUGAUACAGAGAAGACUGGCAUGACCCUUGUGCAAGAA